GAGGGUAAAUUUCAGUGGUAGAGUGUGCGCUUAGAAUGCAUGAGAUCCUGGGUUCGAUCCCCAGUACCUCCG
rnacentral:tRNA from 1 species